rnacentral:snRNA from 1 species
GAUACUCAGGGAGAUCGGGCUGUGACAUCUGUCACCCCAUUGAUUGCCAGGGUUGAUUCAGUUGAUCUGGCUGGCUAGGCUGGUAUCCCCUUCCUCCCUCUAUGCUCCAUAUGCAUCCUUCCUGAAGCUGCAUGCUCAGUCCAAGAGGACAGCCACCCCCAAUAGAAGGGGACCAUUCCUCAGUCAAGGGUGUAUGAGUAGCUGCGCUCCCCUGCUAGAACAUCCAAACAAGCCCUCGAAGGAAUUCUCUUGGGGGAACUUCAAAUUUCUCUGUAAUACAGGAGGCAUGAUCAUCUGUCCAGAGGAAAUACAGUGAGCAUAGAACUGCAUAUGGGAGGUCAAGGUG